rnacentral:lncRNA from 1 species
UCUUGUGUUUGUUGGCAUGUAUUUGUUUCACUAAGGAUUUGAGAUUGAAAUAGACUUUAAAAUAAAUUAUAAUUUAAAGUAUUUAGAACUAGGCUGGAAUACUAUCAAUAGCACCAAGGUACUAUUAGUUUUUUAGCCAUUGGAUUAAAAAAUAUGCGGUUAGGACGAUAUGGACCCCCUAAGAUUGAGUGAGUGAUUGGCUGAAUAGUAUAAUCUAACGGAUAAAAAUAAUCAAAGGGUUAAAUCUAACAAUGAAAAACUCGAUAGCACUAAGCACUUGGUGCUAUCGAUAGUAUCCCAGCCAAAUAAUUAUGUUUUUUCCAUCUUAUUUAUCUGUAUUACUAUAGAACUGAAGUUUUUUCAAUUCUUCUGUUUGUUCAGCAGAAAGCGAAUAUAUAGCAUAAAUGCUAGAGGAUUUUUUAUUUGUAAUUGACUUUAGGUACGCUCUUUUGGAAGGUAUGAGUUUUAGUUCGAAUAUGAAGUAACGAUAGAUCAAACAAUAAAAGUGGAAUUUCGGUGAAACGAACACACUCUUUAUCGACCCCAGAAUCAAACUUGGAAUUUUAUUUUGGUCCUCAAACUUUCAAGUU